GAACAAGUUGAAGGUCUAAAUUGAUAAUCACUUUAUUUCAGGAGUCCAACACUAUGUCUGAAACAUCACCAUAGAACAAGAUGGAUGGAUGUUUUCAUCACAUCUAUGGAUAUUAGACCUAGAAGAAAUGCCACCCAACCUCCUCAGUUUUGUAUUUAUUUGACUGAUAAAAGAAAAACUUCAGCUGAAUUAAAUUUAAAGAAGUUUAACUGAACAACCAACGAUUCACGAAUCAAGCAGCUUUCCCAGCCAGAGUAGGCUCAGAGACUCCAGCACAGCCACAUGGGAGAAGAUUUAUGGACAGAAAAAGGAAAGUGAGGCACAGAAGCAACUAGAUUGGUUACAGGUUGGCAUUUGCCUUAUUUCAACAUGUUCAAACAAUUGGCUACAUUUGGCCAAAACUCAAUGAUUGGCACAAGUGUAAGCUACGGUCUGUUUACACCUCCACUUGUUAUAGUUCACAAUGUACAGAAAAACCUUUAAGUCGAACUUAAAAUACGUACAGAGGCAACUUUAGGCUAAACUUGAUUUAACAGGACUUUGGAGAAUUGUUAAUUUGAGUAUAUUAGGAAUAUAGCCAUUUUGUGUAUAAAAAAGCUAUGCGUGGUUUUACAGGAACCUAGUUCAAGAAAAAUCAGACAUAUAAAACAGACUAAUAAGGAAGUGCUUACUCUGAUUAGAAAAUUAUUCACCUUACAGGAUAAUUUGCAUCAGAGUUCAUUUUAUCUGUGUGCAUCCGAAAUAUGAUUUUGUAUUAAAAGUGAGUACUUAUUACUAUCUUAAA
rnacentral:lncRNA from 1 species